rnacentral:rRNA from 1 species
UGCUCACUGAUUAUUUAAAGAGCCGCGGUAUUUUGACCGUGCAAAGGUAGCAUAAUCAUUAGUCUCUUAAUUAGAGGCUGGAAUGAAUGGCUUGACGAGAAAUCAACUGUCUCUUAAUAAAUUAUAAAAUUUAACUUUUGAGUCAAAAGGCUUAAAUUUUUUCUUUAGGACGAGAAGACCCUAUAGAGCUUGACAUUUAAAUUAUAUAUGUUUUUAGGUUAGUCUUUUUAUAUUUAAUGGUAAUGUUUUGUUGGGGUGACAUGAAGAAUUAAUAAACUCUUCAUUAUAAUAUCAUUGAUUUAUGUUUAUUUUGAUCCAUAAUUUAUGAUCAAAAGAUUAA